UGCCAGCCGCCGCGGUAAUACGAAGGGACCUAGCGUAGUUCGGAAUUACUGGGCUUAAAGAGUUCGUAGGCGGUUAAAAAAGUUGGUGGUGAAAUCCCAGAGCUUAACUCUGGAACUGCCAUCAAAACUUUUUAGCUAGAGUAUGAUAGAGGAAAGCAGAAUUUCUAGUGUAGAGGUGAAAUUCGUAGAUAUUAGAAAGAAUACCAAUUGCGAAGGCAGCUUUCUGGAUCAUUACUGACGCUGAGGAACGAAAGUUAGGGGAUCAAAGACGAUUAGAUA
rnacentral:rRNA from 1 species